rnacentral:rRNA from 1 species
AGAGCGAACGCUGGCGGCAGGCCUAACACAUGCAAGUCGAGCGCCCGUAGCAAUACGGGAGCGGCAGACGGGAUAGUAACACGUGGGAACGCGCCCUUCGGUUCGGAAUAACUCAGGGAAACUUGAGCUAAUACCGAAUACGCCCUUACGGGGAAAGAUUUAUUGCCGAAGGAACGGCCCGCGUCCGAUUAGCUAGUUGGUGAGGUAAUGGCUCACCAAGGCUACGAUCGGUAGCUGGUCUGAGAGGAUGACCAGCAUCACUGGGACUGAGACACGGCCCAGACUCCUACGGGAGGCAGCAGUGGGGAAUAUUGGACAAUGGGCGCAAGCCUGAUCCAGCCAUGCCGCGUGGAUGAUGAAGGCCUUAGGGUUGUAAAGUCCUUUAACGGGAAGAUAAUGACGGUACCGUAGAAUAAGCCCCGGCUAACUUCGUGCCAGCAGCCGC